AUGAGCAGGACGCAAGUGAGUAAUAACAAAAAAAAUUGGAAGUCUGAGAUUUCACUAAAAGUAAAAGUCUUCAUGUGGUAUCUUCGUAAGGGAGUUGUGCUAAUCAAAGACAAUCUUGCAUGAUGCAACUGGCCAUGAAGUAAGCAGUGUUGCUUUUGUGCUUAUGACGAGAUUGUCAAGCACCUCUUUUUCUAAUGCAAGUUUGCAUGUUCUACAUGGUCAAUCAUCCAAAUAGCGUCAAAUCUAUACCCCCACUAA
rnacentral:rRNA from 1 species